rnacentral:rRNA from 1 species
UACGUAGGGGGCGAGCGUUGUCCGGAAUCAUUGGGCGUAACGCGCGUGUAGGCGGCCCGGUAAGUCCGCUGUGAAAGUCCAGGGCUCAACCCUGGGAUGCGGGUGGAUACUGUCGGGCUCGAGUCCGGAAGAGGCGAGUGGAAUUCCUGGUGUAGCGGUGAAAUGCGCAGAUAUCAGGAGGAACACCAAUGGCGAAGGCAGCUCGCUGGGACGUCACUGACGCUGAGACGCGAAAGCGUGGGGAGCAAACAGG